rnacentral:rRNA from 1 species
AGAGUUUGAUCAUGGCUCAGAACGAACGUUGGCGGCGUGGAUUAGGCAUGCAAGUCGAACGAGAACCCGGGGGCAACUCUGGGGGAAAGUGGCGAAAGGGGCAGUAAUGCGUGGGUAACCUACCCCCGGGACGGGGAUAGCCAUCCUAACGGAUGGGUAAUACCCGGCGAAGUAGCGAAGGCGCCUGUCUUUGUUACAAA